CCGGAAUGAAAGGACAAAAAAUCUGUUUUAUUUUUAUGUGAAAAUAAUUGACCAAAUAUAAUAACAGUCUUUAGGAUCAGCUCAUUUUUCAUGAGGAUGCGAAAUGUGACUUCUUCCUUUUUAAAUGUCGUUAAUCCAAGAAAACAACCGUGAGCAUGAAAAUGUUGCGCUUUAUUUACAGCUGUUAGACACGUGAUCUUCUCACUUCCGCUCGUUCUCCUUUAAUUAGCGUCUGAGUUAUUUCCACCAAUCAGAAGCGGUUGCUAGGCAGAGCUGUUUCACCUGACCAAUCACCUUUUUUUUCCUGUGGACGUUGCCUAGCGUCCGCGCCGUGACCCCGAAGAGGAGAAAACAAACUUGGACAAACGCGUGAAAACACGGAAUAAAAGCAGGAUUUGAGCGUCGCUUCGUCUGCUCGGGUUGCUGCUCGGAGGGAAACUUCAGCAGUGAAGAAAUGUGGACGCCAGAAAAGCUUUGGAGCAGUUUUUGGGGAGCACGCGGUGAUGAGUGGAGGGGCUGGACGCUGCGCAGACCUGCGGCUGGAAGCAGGUAUUUCUGCCUCCGGGCUGCAGAGUCUGGAUCUGCGCUCCUGCUCGACAGCUGCCCUGCUGCAGUUCGCUCAGCUGAACCUUUCUGUCUUCACUUUGGGUUUUGGUUCAAAAUUCACUCAACAAGGAUCGAACCCUCUAUCACCCUGAGCUCCUGAACCAGACAGCUGAUCUGUCGCCGGUCGAUGGUGCCAAAGAAUGCAUCUGCCUUGUGGGAAACUCAAAAUGGCCACCUGGAAGAGGAGCUGGACAAGUGGGCCAAAAUGGAAAGGUGAAAUUCUGAACAAGCAAGUCGCCGAAAGGUCGACGUAUGAAACGAGAAGACGAAAUCAAGGGGGGACAACAAGGUGAAACCUUGACCUUCUCCAAACCCACAGCAGCUCGGCACAAAGUCCUUCCAGAGGACGAGGUCUUUCCCUCUGACCAUGGCUGUUACGUGGGUUUUGAUUGUGUCCAUGCUGAGCUGCAUGACUACAAGGCCCCAGGGGGGACACGGCCCCCCCAUUCCCUCCCUCCCUUCCUUCACGAAUGUCACUGAUGCUCCGGGUACUGGCGACGGCAGGAUUCGAACCAGGCACCGCUGGCACCGUACCCCUUACGGUCACGGCCAAACCCUCCACGCCACCGAGUCCCCUUCGCAUCAGAACCUUUUCUCCGGGCGCUUUUAUCUCUUCGCUUUGGGUUUUGGACUUCAAAAUUGACUGAGCCUCGAUAAGGAUCGAACCCACAACCUCAAGGGUACCGCGCAGUCUUCUAUCACCCCGAGCUACUGGACCAGACAAGUUGACUUGAUUUCUUGGCGCUUUUCACUCUUUUCUUUCAACAUUAGCUUUCAAAACUUACUGCAUCAAAUGAGGAUCGAACCCAGAUCCUCGAGACUUCCAGACAGCCGUUUACUUACGCCGGUGGACGAAUCAACCACGCCACCGAGUCCCCUUCGCAUUACAACCUUUUCUCCGGGCGCUUUUAUCUCUUCGCUUUGGGUUUUGGACUUUCAAAAUUGACAGAGCCUUGAUAAGGAUUGAACCCACAACCCCAGAGCCCCCAAGCAGUCUUCUAUCACCCCGAGCUACUGGACCUGACAGUUGUACUUGCUUUCUUGGCGCUUUUCACUCUUUUCUUUCAACAUUAGCUUUCAAAAUUUACUGCGUCAAAUGAGGAUCGAACACAGAUCCUCAAAACUUCCAGACAGCCUUCAACCACUUUGAACUUACGCCCGUGGACGGACCAACCACGCCACCCAGUCCCCUUUGCAUUACAACCUUUUCUCCGGGCGCUUUUAUCUCUUCGCUUUGGGUUUUGGACUUCAAAUCCUCAAGAACCCCCACCAGUGACCUAACAGCCUGAGCUAAUGGACUGGAGUCCUUUGAACGGUCCUCCAUGUAGGUUUUCACUCCUUCAAUCGAAUCCACAGCUUUAAGACUUUAAAGCAGACCCUCGACACACUGAGCUACUGGGUCAGAGACAGCUGGACUCUUUCAUCUGGACACCAGCUCCAAGCUCCUUCGCGGUCUACAGGAAACUUUGGAUGCUGCUGCAAAGGAGAGGGAGGACCUGAAGCUGUGGAGGCCAGUUGUUAUUAACCAGCUGUACUGGGGCCCUGCAGCGCUCAGCACUUCAGUUCUGAAUUCAAUUUUCUAAAACUGCAUAAUUAAGGUGUUGGAGCUGUUUUUCUAAUUUUCUAUUUGUGAAAUGUUGGAUAGAAAAAUGGAAAAUUGAAAAACAGACAAACUGUCAUAGAAAUCUCUGUCAGCAUUAAAUCUGGCUUCGUCAAGUCUUGUCCUUAUUUGAAUCCUUAUAUUCUCAGCUGCUUCAGUCCUCGAUCCCUCUCCUGCUCUCCCACCUGGGUCCUUCUUGUUAUGCAGCAACAUUUCUGUCCCCAUGAAUUACUUCCUCAUAUUUUCUUUCAAACGCGUCAAAUAUUUAGAACAAAUGGCUUCAAUUAUAGAUCAAGGUCUUCUUUAUCACAUAAACACAGAAUAACGCUCAUUAAAUAUACUUUUUUUACUUUA